rnacentral:misc_RNA from 1 species
GAUGAAGAACGCAGCGAAAUGCGAUAAGUAGUGUGAAUUGCAGAAUUCAGUGAAUCAUCGAAUCUUUGAACGCGCAUUGCGACCCUUGGUAUUCCAUGGGGCAUGCCUGUUCGAGCGUCAUUUGUACCUUCAAGCUCUGCUUGGUGUUGGGUGUUUGUCUCGCCUCUGCGUGUAGACUCGCCUCAAAACAAUUGGCAGCCGGCGUAUUGAUUUCGGAGCGCAGUACAUCUCGCGCUUUGCACUCAUAACGACGACGUCCAAAAGUACAUUUUUACACUCUUGACCUCGGAUCAGGUAGGGAUACCCGCUGAACUUAAGCAUAUCAAUAAGCGGAGGA